CAUGCAAGUCGAACGAUGAAGAAAAGAAUUGAAGCUUCGGCAGAAAUUCAUUUCGGAUUAGUGGCAGACGGGUGAGUAACGCGUGAGCAACCUACCUCUUACAAAGGGAUAGCCUCGGGAAACCGGGAUUAAUACCAUAUAACAUUGCGACGAAGCAUUUCGAUGCAAUCAAAGCUACGGCGGUAAGAGAUGGGCUCGCGUCCCAUUAACCAGAUGGUGAGGUAACGGCUCACCAUAGUAACGAUGGGUAACCGGCCUGAGAGGGUGAACGGUCACACUGGAACUGAGACACGGUCCAGACUCCUACGGGAGGCAGCAGUGGGGAAUAUUGCACAAUGGAGGGAACUCUGAUGCAGCGACGCCGCGUGAGUGAUGAAGGAAUUCGUUUCGUAAAACUCUGUUCUAUGGGAAGAAAAGGACUGUACCAUAGGAGAAAGCUCCGGCUAAAUACGUGCCAGCAGCCGCGGUAAUACGUAUGGAGCGAGCGUUGUCCGGAAUUAUUGGGCGUAAAGGGUGCGCAGGCGGCUUUACAAGUUGGAUGUGAAAUAUUGUGGCUCAACCACAAACGUGCAUCCAAAACUGCAAAGCUUGAGUUAAGGAGAGGUAAGUGGAAUUCCUGGUGUAGCGGUGGAAUGCGUAGAUAUCAGGAGGAAUACCGGUGGCGAAGGCGACUUACUGGACUUAAACUGACGCUCAGGCACGAAAGCGUGGGGAGCAAACAGGAUUAGAUACCCUGGUAGUCCACGCCGUAAACGAUGAGUGCUAGGUGUUGGGGGUCAAA
rnacentral:rRNA from 1 species